UUCCUUACAGUCCCCUCUAAAGCAAUUAUUCUGUUCAAAAGAGGAUUUGUUUGUGAUAUUCCUUUAAGAAUCUUUAUUUAUUCCCCCAACAGUUUCUUUUUCUGCAUCCGCUGCUCUGUUAAGUGAUCACCACAUUCAUUGUUCUCGUUUCUAUUAUUUCUGAAAAAAAUCUUCAGGAUUCUGCUUGUGGGAGUGGAUGACAUUUUUACAGUGUUUACAGACACAAAAUGAACAAGAUGUCUGUGGCAACCCUCAGACCAUUGACGCCUUCUCUCCUAUGUAUCAAAUCACACAUUUGGACGUUGACUGAACCCUCACAUGUCAGAUGCUCAAUAUUGAGCUUUAUCUAUUCCAGAAUGUCAUAUAGCUGGUAUAAGAAAGAACACUAAUCAUUCCUAAGGAAGAAAAUUAACAACGCCGUGAGUUAUAAUAUCUGGCUGAAACUGAAGGAGCUCUGUGUAAUUAAAAGUCCUUUCUGCCCUGCCUGGCCAUGGUUCUGUAUGCAUUGAUGUCUUACAAACUGAAAAAAAAAAAAGUUAUUUUCUCAUCUCCAUUCCCUAGCAUAGACAUAUUACAUGAUGUGGAAUUGAAACAAGAAAAUUGCAUUUUAAUCUUCCACUCAGAACAUAGAAGAAUGAAACAAACAAACAAAAAAUACUCUGUUGUCUUAGUCUACCACAAGCAAAAUCUGGCAGUCUCUUUGCUUUGGUAAUGGCAUAAAUUCCUUGAUUAGCCUAUAGGAUAGCCCAUUGUUCUGCUCUUUUAGUGGAAUAGCUAGCAAUUGCUUUGUCAUUUUUUCCCCAUGGUUCCUACCAUUAGUGUUGGGAGGUUUCUUCUUUGUUUUUUUGAGAAAGAGGAAAAAGUUGUUAUAUUUUCAUAAAAACUUAAAUUUCAUCCAAAAUACUUGAUUUUCAUGAAGAAAGUAAAUAUCUCUGCCCCUAGUAUACAUGUGUGGAAACUUUCAGAACCCUGAAGAUAAAUACAUUUCAAACAAGUGAGUUUGAAAAUAUCAAUAGCAAAAUAGGAAGUAAGCUAAUUAGAGAGGUAAGAACUAGAUGGCUUAGCAUUCCAAUAAUAAUAUAUAACCUUCUUUAAGAGUAAAAUCUUGGUCAAAAGACAGAUGAAAACUCCAAUAAAAUUUCACAACUC
rnacentral:lncRNA from 1 species